rnacentral:rRNA from 1 species
GACAGAGGGUGCAAACGUUGUUCGGAAUUACUGGGCGUAAAGCGCGUGUAGGCGGUUUGGUAAGUCGGGUGUGAAAGCCCUGGGCUCAACCCAGGAAGUGCAUUCGAAACUGCUGAGCUAGAGUACUGGAGAGGAAGGCGGAAUUGUCGGUGUAGAGGUGAAAUUCGUAGAUAUCGGCAGGAACACCGGUGGCGAAGGCGGCCUUCUGGACAGAAACUGACGCUGAGACGCGAAAGCGUGGGGAGCAAACAGG